UGAGGAAUAUUGGUCAAUGGGCGCGAGCCUGAACCAGCCAAGUCGCGUGAGGGAUGACGGUCCUACGGAUUGUAAACCUCUUUUGUCCGGGGAGCAAGCGUGCGUUCGUGAACGCACGUCGAGAGUACCCGGAGAAAAAGCAUCGGCUAACUCCGUGCC
rnacentral:rRNA from 1 species